rnacentral:rRNA from 1 species
GGAAUCUUGCGCAAUGGCCUAACGGCUGACGCAGCGACGCCGCGUGCGGGAGGACGCCCCUCGGGGUGUAAACCGCUGUUGCCCGGGACGAACCUCCUCUUUCGAGGGGACUGACGGUACCGGGUGAGGAAGCACCGGCUAACUCCGUGCCAGCAGCCGCGGUCAUACGGAGGGUGCGAGCGUUGUCCGGAAUCACUGGGCGUAAAGGGCGCGUAGGCGGCUUCCUAAGGGGGCGGUGAAAGCCCGGGGCUCAACCCCGGGUCGGCCGUGCCGACUGGGAGGCUGGAGCACUGUAGAGGCGGGUGGAAUUCCGGGUGUAGCGGUGGAAUGCGUAGAGAUCCGGAAGAACACCGGUGGCGAAGGCGGCCCGCUGGGCAGUGGCUGACGCUGAGGCGCGACAGCGUGGGGAGCAAAC